rnacentral:rRNA from 1 species
GAUGAACGCUGGCGGCGUGCCUAACACAUGCAAGUCGAACGAGAUGCGUAUUGGAAAGCUUCGGCCGGAAGAUGCGUUAUCUAGUGGCGGACGGGUGAGUAACACGUGGGUAACCUGCCUUAUGGAGGGGGAUAACAGAGAGAAAUCACUGCUAAUACCGCAUAAGCACACAGUACCGCAUGGUAGAGUGUGAAAAGAUUUAUCGCCAUAAGAUGGACCCGCGUCUGAUUAGCCAGUUGGCAGGGUAAAAGCCUACCAAAGCAACGAUCAGUAGCCGAUCUGAGAGGAUGACCGGCCACAUUGGGACUGAGACACGGCCCAAACUCCUACGGGAGGCAGCAGUGGGGAAUAUUGCACAAUGGGGGAAACCCUGAUGCAGCGACGCCGCGUGAGUGAAGAAGUAUUUCGGUAUGUAAAGCUCUAUCAGCAGGGAAGAUAAUGACAGUACCUGACUAAGAAGCCCCGGCUAACUACGUGCCAGCAGCCGCGGUAAUACGUAGGGGGCAAGCGUUAUCCGGAUUUACUGGGUGUAAAGGGAGCGUAGACGGAGUGGCAAGUCUGAAGUGAAAACCCUGGGCUUAACCUGGGGACUGCUUUGGAAACUGUUAAUCUAGAGUGUUGGAGAGGUAAGUGGAAUUCCUGGUGUAGCGGUGAAAUGCGUAGAUAUCAGGAAGAACACCGGAGGCGAAGGCGGCUUACUGGACAAUAACUGACGUUGAGGCUCGAAAGCGUGGGGAUCAAACAGG